GACGAACGCUGGCGGCGUGCUUAACACAUGCAAGUCGAGCGGUAAGGCCCUUUCGGGGGUACACGAGCGGCGAACGGGUGAGUAACACGUGAGUAAUCUGCCCUCCACUUUGGGAUAAGCCUCGGAAACGAGGUCUAAUACCGGAUACGACCGCUUCCUGCAUGGGAUGGUGGUGGAAAGUUUUUUCGGUGGGGGAUGUGCUCGCGGCCUAUCAGCUUGUUGGUGAGGUAAUGGCUCACCAAGGCUUCGACGGGUAGCCGGCCUGAGAGGGUGACCGGCCACACUGGGACUGAGACACGGCCCAGACUCCUACGGGAGGCAGCAGUGGGGAAUAUUGGACAAUGGGCGGAAGCCUGAUCCAGCAACGCCGCGUGAGGGAUGACUGCCUUCGGGUUGUAAACCUCUUUCAGCGGGGACGAAGCGCAAGUGACGGUACCCGCAGAAGAAGCACCGGCCAACUACGUGCCAGCCGCCGCGAAC
rnacentral:rRNA from 1 species